rnacentral:rRNA from 1 species
GACGAACGCUGGCGGCGUGCUUAACACAUGCAAGUCGAACGGAAAGGCCCUGCUUUUGUGGGGUGCUCGAGUGGCGAACGGGUGAGUAACACGUGAGUAACCUGCCCUUGACUUUGGUAUAACUUCAGGAAACUGGGGCUAAUACCGGAUAGGAGCUCCUGCUGCAUGGUGGGGGUUGGAAAGUUUCGGCGGUUGGGGAUGGACUCGCGGCUUAUCAGCUUGUUGGUGGGGUAGUGGCUUACCAAGGCUUUGACGGGUAGCCGGCCUGAGAGGGUGACCGGCCACAUUGGGACUGAGAUACGGCCCAGACUCCUACGGGAGGCAGCAGUGGGGAAUAUUGAACAAUGGGCGGAAGCCUGAUGCAGCAACGCCGCGUGCGGGAUGACGGCCUUCGGGUUGUAAACCGCUUUCGCCUGUGACGAAGCGUGAGUGACGGUAAUGGGUAAAGAAGCACCGGCUAACUACGUG